AUACGGAGGAUCCGAGCGUUAUCCGGAUUUAUUGGGUUUAAAGGGUGCGCAGGCGGGAUGUUAAGUCGGCGGUGAAAUUUUUCAGCUCAAAUGUAAAAGUGCCUUCGAUACUGGCUUUCUUGAGUGUGGAUGAAGUAGGCGGAAUUUGUGGGGUAGCGGUGAAAUGCUUAGAUAUCACGAGGAACUCCGAUUGCGCAGGCAGCUUACUAAACCACUACUGACGCUCAUGCACGAAGGCGUGGGGAUCAAACAGGAUUAGAUACCCUGGUAGUCCACGCAGUAAACGAUGAUUACUAGUUGUUUGCGAUACAAUGUAAGCGACUGAGCGAAAGCGUUAAGUAAUCCACCUGGGGAGUACGUUCGAAAGAAUGAAACUCAAAGGAAUUGACGGG
rnacentral:rRNA from 1 species